GCAGUCUGCAACUCGACUGCACGAAGCUGGAAUCGCUAGUAAUCGCGGAUCAGCACGCCGCGGUGAAUACGUUCCCGGGCCUUGUACACAUCGCCCGUCACACCAUGGAAGUCUGCAAUGCCCGAAGCCGGUGGCCUAACCACUUAUGUGGAAGGAGCCGUCUAAGGCAGGGCAGAUGACUGGGGUGAAGUCGUAACAAGGUAUC
rnacentral:rRNA from 1 species